GCUCUUGUAGUUCAACGGGAUAGAACGACCCUCUCCUAAGGGGUAAAUACAGGUUCGAGUCCUGUCAGGGGUA
rnacentral:tRNA from 1 species